GGGGGCGAUUGGCUUCGACGGGUGGUAGACGGUGUUUGUUGCGUGCCGAGGUGUCGUGUCCUCGUAAAACCCGCGGCAAGGCAAUCACAAUUGCCGACACUGAACUAGCUCUCGCUGCUUAAAUAGACAGCGAGCGUUCCCCGGUCCGACGCCUGCUGAGACCGGGGGGCGACGUUUAGCAGGCUGGUCCAAACCGCUGUCGGGACGGGGCGGACGAGAAACUUUCCCGGCUCGCGGCUGGCUCCCCGUGCUCUGUCGGAGGGCCUUCCGCUAAAAAAACACACGGAGCUACGCACGUAGACGCAGGCACAAGAAACCAUGCGGACGCGGGUUCGAUUCCCGCCGCCUCCACCA
rnacentral:tmRNA from 1 species